rnacentral:rRNA from 1 species
AGACUCCUACGGGAGGCAGCAGUGAGGAAUAUUGCGCAAUGGGGGAAACCCUGACGCAGCGACGCCGCGUGAGUGAGGAAGGCCUUCGGGUCGUAAAGCUCUGUCAGUAGGGAAGAAAUGUAUAUAAGUUAAUACCUUAUAUAUUUGACGGUACCUGCAAAGGAAGCACCGGCUAACUCCGUGCCAGCAGCCGCGGUAAUACGGAGGGUGCAAGCGUUGUUCGGAAUCACUGGGCGUAAAGGGAGCGCAGGCGGUUUGUCAAGUCAGAUGUGAAAGCCCACGGCUCAACCGUGGAAGUGCAUUUGAAACUGGCAAACUUGAGUAUCAGAGGGGAAAGUGGAAUUCCCGGUGUAGAGGUGAAAUUCGUAGAUAUCGGGAGGAAUACCGGUGGCGAAGGCGACUUUCUGGCUGAAUACUGACGCUGAGGCUCGAAAGCGUGGGGAGCAAACAGGAUUAGAUACCCUGGUAGUCCACGCCGUAAACGAUGUGAACUAGAUGUAGGAGGUAUUGAUCCCUUCUGUGUCGCAGCUAACGCAUUAAGUUCACCGCCUGGGGAGUACGGUCGCAAGAUUAAAACUCAAGGAAUUGACGGGGGCCCGCACAGCGG